GGCUUCCUCCUCCCAUCAGCAGAGGCGGAUUGCCCUUCCUGGUGACUCACCCCAAAGGGGUCAGCUCCAAGCAGAAAGUCAUUGUUGACAGGAAGAAGGGUCAGACUUUCCCUUCUCCAGCCAACUUCCUGGGUACCAAGAUAGCAACGAGGGACAACAAAGAGUUGGGGCGGGGGAGGCCUCCCAAAUGGGCUGGAGGACACACUGGCCCCUCCAUGCUGCCCACCCACCCAUGGGACCCCCCCUAGCCACGUGACAGCCAGCCUGACAGCAUCAGUCAUUGAUGAGUCAGGCAGCCCUGGAAAUCUUCUCACAGCCAGCUGAGGAGAUGUGAGUGACACAGAGCAAGGAGGUGCCAUUUCAGCCACACAGGUCGGGGUGAGAAGGACACGCCAAUCAAAGCUGGUUCUGAGGUUCGCUUCUGGAGGGGAUGCUGGAAACAGGGGGCAUCCGAGUUGGGGACACAGUCUGGGAAGGUGUCUAAAGGAAGUGAGAUUUGAAGGAGGGACAGAGCGCUACCCAGAAGGGCAUAACUAGAGCCUGGGGCCAGGUCAGGAAACGUGUCCCUCUGGUGUAGAAGCUGCGUGUGGGAAACUGCUGCGGUAGGAAGGUCGGCAGGCUGCCUCUGGCUCCAGAAGCUGCUGGAGUUGAGGAUUUGUUCUCUGUGGAAGAGCAACAUCACCGGUGCGGUCCGGUUCCCGGGCUAGGCCAUCCUGCAGAAUUCUGUGUGAGCCAGAAUGUUCAACUAAGAGAAGGCUGCAGAUUGGGGGUGGAGGGCAGGAAAGAGAGGGGUCUUGCAGCAUCUGUGGGGGCCACAAACCACAUGCACAAAGGUGGUUGCUCAGUCAGUAAAGAGCUUAGAAAGCAUUGAAUCAGAGAACAAGGGAAGCAAACCUGUGUCUGGGAGUGGCUCCAGUGAAGCCCACCUCAUUCUCUCUGUACGGAAUUCCAAACACCCCUGUACAGGAGGAAGCAGCUACAGAGCCUCCUAUUCACCUGCUGGGUGGCACCUCUGGCUUUAAGUAGUGGGUAAACUGGCUCGAGCAAACCCGGGACUCCAAGACAGAUGUGCGAAGCAGAGAUGUUGCCAUGCCUAGGCUGAGGGCUUUCAGCCAGUCAGUGAGGGGAAUGCAGCAGAAAGGAGAGAGGGGUGGUGCCAGGCUGAGGGUCGGGAUGUUGAGAAAAGGGAUGUAUCCUGGAGAUGGGCUGAGGGUCAAAAGGAUGAGGAGAAACACCCCCUCCCACAGCUGGCGCAGCACCCAGAGUUGCAAGUUCCCAUGAGAUGUUCCUUUCUGUCCUCUCUUUGCUGUCCCCCUCUCCUCCUGGCCCUCCUAGUACGGCAGAUGCUGUCUCUGGUUCUCUGGGCUGAGAACAGAGCAGAAGUGGGCGCUUGGGCUGUUUGUCCUGCCUGGGUUCCUGCUCUUUCUGUUGCCGCAGAGCUGGCAUGCCGGUCUUGGCUUGAAGGUUACAUCCUCUGAGAGGCCUUUGCUGGCCACCACACUGAUAUAGUUCAUUGUGACGUCACUAUGACAGUCCCUGCUUUAGUUUUGAGAGAGCACCUACCAUGACCUGGUCUUUUCUCUUGUUUCCUUGUUUAUUUUUGUCUCCCCCGUCUAGAAUGGAAGCUCCCUGAGGGCAGGAACCUUGUCUGUGCUCCUGGCUACGUCCCCAGCACUCACAACAGGGCCUGGCAUAGAUUUAGUAGGAUGAAGGGUGAGAAAUGCACAUCAACACAAGAGAGACACAGAGACCAAAGUACCAUGGGCCAGAGAAGGGAGGAAGCAUUCCUGUUGAGAGCAAGAAGCAAGGCUUCCCAAGCACUUAGUCUCCUGAGGUCUGUUCCUUCUGCCAAACCCACAUCUUGGACCUCAAAGGCAAAAUGUCCCUUUCUCUGACUGCACAGACCCUGUCCUCCCGUCCUUGAUCUCACCCCUACCUAUCCACAGGACCCUGCUCCUUCAGUGGCCCUGUACCUCCAUCUCCUCAGCUUCUCCUCUGUGGGUUCCUUCCCUUUAGCUGAUAAACCUGUGUCAGUCUCUGGCACUCCCCCAAGCCCUCACUUCCUAAUGAGAUGCUGCAUUUGCUAAGGACAAGUCCAGGUGCGGAUGUGCCUCUUCGUGGACCCCAUCAGACAGUGUCCUAUGCUUGGAAAACAUUCACUGAAUGGAUGGAUCUAAUCCUGUCAUCUCCUAGCAUCCUCAGUGGUCCUCAAUGUAAGGGCAAAUUGUCACAUGUAUGACCUACAGACACCCAGUAAAUGAGAUUGGUCUGGCCUCUCUCUCAUUCCUCUAGUCUUCCUCCCCAGCUCCAAUCAUUCCUGAGUAACUACCCAGAAACCACUACCCUGCCCUCACCUCUCCCGAGCUUUGUGCGUGCUGUUCUCUCUCUCUCAAAUGCUCCUUCCCCACUUCCGCACGAGGUGCACUUUGGCUCUCAAUGCAGCUCAAGGGUCUCCUCCUCCCAAGAGACUGUGACCCUCCUGGGAGUAAAAGGUGGUCCUGGUCAA